UUCUGUAUGCAUUGGAUAAUAGUAUUCUCUUCCUUUUCUUUGCUAAAAUUGAAUAGAUUCACAGAAAAUUUUGGCAAAAAGCUGGCCAUAAAGUCAACUGACUGCCUCAUGCCAAACUCCUCAAGCUUGACAUCCUCUCACUGUCCUGUCCCUGUGCGUCUUGCCUGGCCUAGACAGCCCUUCUUUUUCUCCAGGGUCAAAAACAGGGUCAGAAGCAGAUUGGCUCUGCAAAGCCAGGUACAAGCUCUAUUUAAAUGUAAUUAAGGUCACAGGAAGCCCUUGCUGAGAAAAUCUGCUGCGAAGUGCCAUUUGGGAUCCUGAUCAUCUGGUUGCUUAUUCCGUUGCUCCGGGCUCCCCAUUGGGUUUCUGAGAAUUAGCGAAUCAGGACCAUGGGCGCAGUCAGAACUGUUCAAACAGGAGCACGAGGGGUUGAAGCAGACGUUACUGGCCUUUCUUCCUGACACCCUGUCCUGUCAGCUGCGGGAGUCCGAGGUGGCUGAGAUUCACUGGCCCUGUGACCCCUGAGCCAAGGAGUUUCUUAAGAGAUUGUAGGAGCCCUGGACUCAGACAAGCCUGAAGGAGACUUAGUGGACCACCUCCAGACUUGAAGCAUGUCACAACUCUACUCCCUGAUGAGAGAGCAGCGCUGUCUUUACAUUCCUGACUGGCAGGAGAGGAAACUUCCGUGUCCUGUAGGAGGGUGUACUCUCCGGAGCCAAUUGGGGCUGUGUAUUUCAACUUGAAAAAGACUGAUCGCCUGGCUGUGAUGUGUCCAUUCUGAGAACCAUAUAAAUGGAUUUACAGAUAUGUCCACUCUGGCUCACCAUAUCACAUGUGACUACAGAUGUGUUCAGUCAGGCUCACAGUCUCCCUUGGAUUAACGAUGUAUCCACUAUGCUCCCCAAAUAAAUGGGUUUACAAAUGUGUCCAAUCUGGUGCACUCUCUUCUGUGAAUAACAGAGGUAUCCACUCUGGCUUACAGAUGUCUGCACUAUGGAUCAAUGUCUCUCCUAGGAUUAAAAUGUGUCCACUCUGGCUCACCAUCUCCUGGGAUUACAAAUGUGUCCACUCUGGCUCACCAUCUCCUGGGAUUACAGAUGUGUCCA
rnacentral:lncRNA from 1 species